rnacentral:rRNA from 1 species
UGGGGAAUUUUGGACAAUGGGCGAAAGCCUGAUCCAGCAAUGCCGCGUGUGUGAAGAAGGCCUUCGGGUUGUAAAGCACUUUUGUCCGGAAAGAAAUCCUUGGCUCUAAUACAGUCGGGGGAUGACGGUACCGGAAGAAUAAGCACCGGCUAACUACGUGCCAGCAGCCGCGGUAAUACGUAGGGUGCAAGCGUUAAUCGGAAUUACUGGGCGUAAAGCGUGCGCAGGCGGUUUGCUAAGACCGAUGUGAAAUCCCCGGGCUCAACCUGGGAACUGCAUUGGUGACUGGCAGGCUAGAGUAUGGCAGAGGGGGGUAGAAUUCCACGUGUAGCAGUGAAAUGCGUAGAGAUGUGGAGGAAUACCGAUGGCGAAGGCAGCCCCCUGGGCCAAGUACUGACGCUCAUGCACGAAAGCGUGGGGGAGCAAAACAGGAUUAGAUACCCUGGUAGUCCACGCCCUAAACGAUGUCAACUAGUUGUUGGGGGAUUCAUUUCCUUAGUAACGUAGCUAACGCGUGAAGUUGACCGCCUGGGGGAGUACGGUCGCAAGAUUAAAACUCAAAUGAAUUGACGGGGUCAUAGCUGUUUCCU